UCUUCACCUGUCCGUGGCUGAUGUAACCUCGGUUAGCGUAGCGUAGAGCUCAGCGUGGUUGCCUGCUGACCCUCGCUCAGCCGCCCCAGAACUGGUGGCCAGGGCCCCGGCCAGCGCAGCGGUCACAGAAAACCGGCUCCGCCUCCUGGCCUGCGCUGCCCGAAACAGAACCCGCCAUAGCGACAUAAUAUAUUCUAUUUUUAUAAUCUUCCUAUUUUUGUAGUUGCCUGUUGAUGAGAUGCUGGUUUUUCACCCCCACAGACCUGCAGCCUGCUCACAUCCAGGUGAAAUCCACAGCUCCUUUUUUUUUUUUUUUUUUUCCUUCUCAAUAUUCUAGAACCAUUCCAUUUCAAAGCACUUUCAAUCCAGCGGUUAUAGGGAAUCUCUCUUGUUUAUGUUGUGUGUGGAGCGGGGUGGGGGUGGGGGGACAAUUUCUUAAUGGAAUGGUUUGGGAAUAUUCACGUCCUUGUGUGCAGACAGGAUUGCGAGGCAAGUGCAUGUCACUAUGGAGUUAGUGAGAGGGGAUGUUCUUGAAGAUGAGCUUCCGGUCAAGAAGUGCAUUCUUACAUUGCCAGGAUGAUGCGUUCCUUUCUCUGUAGAGCAGUGGAAGUUCGGGAGUCCUUGGUGCCAACUGGUGUUUGGAAGUAGGGGCCUUUAAAGGCUUACCUAGAGAACGCGUAGUGUAAGGGUUAGGAAGGUUUUUAAACACUAAAAUAUAUAAUUUAUAGUUAAGGCUAAAAAGAAUAUUUAUUGCAGAGGAUGUUCGUAAGGCCAGUAUGAUUUAUAAAGUAAUGCAAUUUCCCCUUGAUUUACACCCACACACACACACACACACAUACACAUACACUUUUCUGCCUUUGACGUUGCAGGUUUCAUACAGUUUAUAAAAGUUCGGUCCUUUUUCGUAGGAGAGAGAAAAAGAUCCUGAGGAAAAACACGGCAUGGAUUCGGGCUGAUUCAGCCUGUCUGGCAUUGCCCCAAGCGGGAACCCCACCUGAGAGGCCUCAGAGUUCCACAGAAAAUUAGGGUACUCGAAACAAGUUCAGCCCCGACAUAUUCUUGUCCCCUUUUGAAAAAAAGUUUAGCGACGAAUAGACAAUUUGCACAUCUUGGCUAUGUACCUUUUUGUAAUGACUACGUAGGAUGAGUCGAAGGCAGGGAGAGCACAGGGCUGGUGCUUGGUGAGGGUGCGGGGGGCGUGCAGAGGGCCGACGGCGGGACCACGCGGCAGGCGGGCUGCGGCUCGGUUUCCUGAUUCGCUGCUACCGAUGACUUCCCAGCACAGUUUGGAAACAGAUUCACAUCGCUUUUCUGUAUCUCUUUCACAUUGUUUUGCUGCUAUUGGAAGAUCAGUUGUUUUGUUUUGUUUUGUUUUGUUUUACAAUGUCAUAUACUGCCAUGUUCUAGUUUUAAUUUUCUCAUAGAAAAAUGUAUUAAGGGCGCCUUUUUUUUUUGUAGAUUUUUUUUUUAUGUGAUCAAUUUUGACUUAAUGUGAUUACUGCUCUAUUCCAAAAAGGUUCCUGUUUCACGAUACCUCAUGCUUCUCUUAGCCAUGUGUAGACCAGGCGGUCAGGCUCCAUCUGACCCGCAGGCCCCCUGCUUCGGCAGACAUGAGGACGGGAUCCCGGAAACGGGCCUGGCGGGGUGGGCUCCAGGCCGCGAUUGUGCGCCCAGCCCGGCGUCCCCGGGGCCGCGACCGCUUCCUUCUCCCUGCGCUUGUAACGCUGGGCUGUCCACCUGACCCGGGACGUGCUACCAUCAUAGUUUUUUACAGCCGUAUUGUUCUUUACGUGUAGCUAUGAAAGUUGCAUUAUUAUAUUAUUAUUAUUGUAACAAGUGUGUUGUCACGUGCCACCGUGGUGCUGUGCUGCAGGACCCAGAAACUCGGGAUGAUCAGAAUAGCUUCUGGACUUGGUUAAAGUUCCGGGUGUUGCAUCUGUUAUUAUGUACCAGCGUUGUUUGUUCUCUUCAUUACAGCGUCAUGCUAAUUUAAAAAAAAGACUCCAGAUCUCAGCGAAGCCAGCUAACAGUGCUGUGUGCCCGAGUCGCCUAGCACGCUGCCGAACCAAAAGGAUUUGCACCGCUGGCAGCCCCUGCCCCAGCAGGGUCAGCCUGGGUGCUCCCGGGCCAUUGGCAGGCCCGGGCCCCGCCCCACCCCGCCCCGCCCCUGCAGGAACACUGCUUCCGCUUACCUCAACCGUUCUGGCUGCGGCAUCUCUGUGUCUGAACCAAACGGGGUCCUUGAGGGACGGUCUGUCCUCAUGGGGGGUGAACGUUGUGUGUGCUCAAAGGCCAAAGGCCGGUGGCAGGUCUGGGGAGCACAGUGGAGUCUGUCCUGUGACCAGCAAGUCUGUGAGGGUCUCUGGUGGGGGGGCACUUUUGGUCUGUGUGUGUUUUGGUGGCACACUGUGGCACAGACAUGUAACCGGCACGUUUCCAGCAGAAAAAAAGACAAACGUGAAAAGCCUAGAAAUAAAAUUGGUAAA
rnacentral:lncRNA from 1 species